CUGUGGUGUACUGGGGGGCAUGCGGUUAUACAUUCCUAAUUACAUACCGUUUUUUUCUCUAGCCCUUUUUCAAUCGGUUGCCUUAAAAACACUUUCAUUUUUAGUGAUUAUCCCGUUUUGUUCGAGUUCGUCUUUCGUCUUCUUCACACUAUGAGCUGGGGUGGAAAGAUUUAAUGCAAUCGAAGGAGUGUUAAUCGUUGUGGUAUCGCAUUAAGGUUCUUUUAGUGAUUUCAUUUCAUUUCAUUUCAUUUCAUUUAUUUCAUACAAUAUCCGCCAUCAAGGCUAAAUAUAAUAGACUUAAAACUAAUUUAAUACUAACAAAUAAACAAAAUAAUUCAUGAAAAACUAAGCCUAACUAACCUAGUCUUGACCUAGCAAAAAAGAAAAGAAAAAAAACAAGAGUAGAGCGUAGAGACUAUCAUAAACUUAACAAAAAUAAAAAAAAGAGAGUAAUAGAACUAAGGAGAAUAAUUAAAGGGAAUUAGAAGAAAAAAUACGGUUACGGAAAGAGUUAAGAGAGGAGUCGAAAUCAAAGAGAUAGUAAAAGUGGUUAAACAACCUGAAACAGGACAGAAGAGGGUCAUUGAAAGUAUAAAGAGUAUGACGUGUUUCAAUUGACAGAGGAUCACGUGGACGAAGAGAACGAGAGGGAACAUACAGCGAGAUGGACGAGAGUAAAUCAGGAGCAUCAGUAGCAGAAAGUAAUAAGCCACCAAUAAAACAAGCCUGAAACACUUGGCGGCGGAAGCUUAAGGAGUGAAGAUUGAAUAACUGCAAUCGCGUUUCAUAGGGAGGUAGUGAGGCAGCACCGAACAAACGACGAAAGGCAAUCCUGGUAAAGAGGCGCUGAAUGCUUUCAAUUCUCGAACAGCCAUCAAUAGUGGGAGGAUUCCAGAUGAUACUUGCAUAUUCAAGAAUAGGCCUUACCAAAGCACAAUAAAGGAUUCUUAGGAUGCUUUGAUCUCUAAAAAUAGAGGUAAAACGUAAGAUAAACCCAAGGGUUCGAUUUGCUUUUAGUAGCACCUCAUCAAGCUGCAGUUUAAAGUUAAGACGACAGUCAAGUAUAAUACCAAGGUCACGGAUGGACAAAACACGAGAGAGGGAAGCGCUAGAGAGAGUAUAGUUAAAUAAAAUAGGAGAAAGAGAGUGAGAGAAAGAAAUAACAGAACAUUUUUCGGGACACAGGCGAAGUAAAUUGGAUGAACACCAAUGAGCAAAUGCAUUGAGGUAAUGCUGAAGUCUCAGACAAUCAGAAGAAGAAGACACAGGUAAGAAGAUUUUGAUAUCAUCCGCAUAAAGGAGAUGACCAUCAGGAGGUAAAACAUUACAAACAUCAUUGAUGAACAAAGAAAACAGAAGUGGACUUAGCACACAACCCUGAGGGACACCUGACGUACAAAAAAACUCCUCAGAUAAGUACGACCCGGUUUUAACCCUGCAUGAUCGAUUACUUAAAUAUGAGGACAGCCAGCUAAUAAUGCCAUCACCAAAACCAAGUUUAGACAAUUUAGCUAAUAAUAAAGAGUGAGGCAAACUAUCAAAAGCAGCAUGAAAGUCGGUGUAUAUUGCAUUCAGUUGGGUACCGGCCUCAAAAGAUCUAAAAAUAUUGGAAAUAAAAGACAUGAGAUUAGUUGAAGUAGACCUACCAGGCAUAAACCCAUGCUGUUUAGGGCUAAUAGCUGAACUACAACUAUGAAGUAUGGUUGGAAGGAUACAUAGCUCAAAAGUUUUGGCUGUGGCGCAAGUUUGGGUUAUCCCACGAUAAUUAGAAACAAUGCUACGGCAUCCCUUUUUGUGUACCGGAAAAAGCCAACAGGAUUUCCAAAGAGCAGGAAAAACCCCAAGAGAAAGUAAAAGGUUGAAAAUUUUAGCAAGGUGUGGAGCAAGCACGUCCUUACAGUUUAUUAAAACUGAGGCAGGAAUGCCAUCUGGACCAGGAGUAAAAGAACGUUUCAACCCAAAUAACACCUGUACAACUGUUUCAGAGCUAACCGAAAUAUCGGAGAGAUUAAUUAAGUUCUCUGGCGUGUAGAGUAGCCCACCCUCAAUAAGGUUAGGGUCACUAACCGGUGGCUCAAACAUUUGGGAAAAAUGUGCAGAGAAUAGCUCACAGAUCUCAACAGGCGUAGAGGCAGUUCGAGAAUCAAGUACCAUUUCAUUAGGUAACGUAUUGCACCCUCUUCGAAUCCUAACAAAUUGCCAGAAGGACGCUGGAUCAGAACGGAAACGCGAUUGCAGUCUACUCGAAUAGGCCUCAAAACGAGCCCUGUUGUAUAGUCGAUGCGCAGAGGCAGCGUACUUAAAUAAACGAAAGUUGAAAGCAGAUCGGUUCAGACGAUACCUCCUAAUAUAUUUCAUUCUAUCCUUUUUCAGGUUGCGAAGAGUACGAUUGGACCAGGGAGGAUUAGGAGGGGAACGAAAAAUAGGUGUACAUGAAAGGAGUGCAGAGGUUAACAAAGCAUUAAACGAUUGGACAGCCUCGUCGACCGAUGUACAUUGAUAAAAAAAAGACCAGUCGGAACGAGAUAGAAUUGAAUUAAGUUUACGAUAGUCUGUGAGCCGAAAAUUAUAACGAACUCUCAAUGAAUUAGGAGCAGAAGAGCAGGAUGAUGGGCAUCCUGGGGCAGGAGCAGUGACGAAGCAGGAUACACAGAACAACAAGCAGCUGCAGCAGAGUUGGAGAGCACCAGGUCCAAAUAAUGAUUUAAAUGGUUAUGCACCCCGUUCAGCUGAUAGAGUUCAUGCAGGUUUAACAUAUCCAAAAAGCAGGAACUGGAUGUAUUCGAAGAAAUAUGUGGCACAUAAUGUCUUAUAGCUGAAGAUGAAUCUGGCCUUACUGCGGUAGAAAGCGACCACUCUAACGCAGGUUGAUUGAAGUCACCCAGAAGGAUAAGAUGAUCAUUCGGUUUCAUUUGCAUGUAUGCAUCACUGAUGAAAGCAGAAAGGGAUUCCAAAUAGUUGCGGUCGCUGCUCAAAUACGGUGGCACAUAAACAA